GACGAACGCUGGCGGCGUGCUUAACACAUGCAAGUCGUACGGUAAGGCCCUUUCGGGGGUACACGAGUGGCGAACGGGUGAGUAACACGUGAGUAACCUGCCCACAACUUUGGGAUAACGCUAGGAAACUGGUGCUAAUACUGGAUAUGUGCUCCUGCUGCAUGGUGGGGGUUGGAAAGCUCCGGCGGUUGUGGAUGGACUCGCGGCCUAUCAGCUUGUUGGUGGGGUAGUGGCCUACCAAGGCGGCGACGGGUAGCCGGCCUGAGAGGGUGACCGGCCACAUUGGGACUGAGAUACGGCCCAGACUCCUACGGGAGGCAGCAGUGGGGAAGAUUGCACAAUGGGCGCAAGCCUGAUGCAGCAACGCCGCGGGCGGGAGGACGGCCUUCGGGUUGGAAACCGCGUUCAGCAGGGACGAAGCUUUUUGUGACGGUACCUGCAGAAGAAGCACCGGCUAACUACGUG
rnacentral:rRNA from 1 species